UAAUACGGAGGUUCCAAGCGUUGUUCGGAAUUACUGGGCGUAAAGGGGGCGCAGGCGGACUGGUCAGUGGAAAGUGGAAGCCCGGGGCUCAACCUCGGAUGUGCUUUCCAUACUGCCAGUCUUGAGUUCGUGAGAGGAGAGCGGAAUUCAGGGUGUAGCGGUGAAAUGCUUAGAUAUCCUGAGGAACACCGGUGGCGAAAGCGGCUCUCUGGCACGAAACUGACGCUGAGGCCCGAAAGCGUGGGGAGCGAACGGGAUUAGAUACCCCGGUAGUCCACGCCGUAAACGUUGUGCACUAGGUGCAGGAGGUAUCGACCCCUUCUGUGCCGCAGCUAACGCAUUAAGUGCACCGCCUGGGGAGUACGCCCGCAAGGGUG
rnacentral:rRNA from 1 species